ensembl:lncRNA
CGCCGGCCUCCCAUCCCGGGCCCGCCAACCCCGCUCGGCGCGCGUCGGCCUAACGCUCUCCCCACCCAAUCUCUGUCCAGGCCCCGGGGGCUGAUCGCCCGUGCCAGCGGCUCUGGGAAGUCCAGAAAAGUAAACUCUCGGCGGUUAAAGCGUGUCCCCAGAUAGUGUGCACUCCGGAUCCUCCCAGCAUCGGGACUCCCAGACUGCGUGCCUGGGGCUAGGUUUUGAGCCUUGAGGCCGCGUUUAGGGGAUCAAAGCCGGGGUGAGGGGUCCAGUCCCGUGUCACAUGUAUAUGCUCGGGCCCUUGAUCGCAGGCUUAGGUCCAUGGUUAGGGGUUUGGGGGGUCCGGGCAGCGAUUAGGGGGUCUAGGGCGCAUCUCUUUGCCAGGGACAGCGGUUAUAGGUUCAGGGCCCUAGGAAUUCAGGCAACAAGUGCCUGCCAGAGCCUCGUUAACGCGGAGGCUCAGAGCCAGAACCUGGUUGUGGGGUGCAGCGGUCUGUGAGCGAGGGGUGACCAGCGUGUGUGCAGGGGGAGCAGAGGGGAGCUCCAGAGCCUCGUGGGUCCGUUCGGCUGGUUCUGAACCAGAGAAUCCCAUGGACAGAGGAGCCUGGCGGGCUACAUAGCCCAAGGGGUUGCAGAGUCCAACACGACUGAGCGACUGAGUACAUACCGGCACACAUGAAGUAUAUAAUUCACGCUCAGAGCAGGCCUGGGCAGGUGGCUGUCUACCAUCUCCACGCACAAAGAUGUUGGAAGAGACCAGGUGGGACUCCUCCCCUUCGAAGGCAGAUUAACCUUUGGCGCCAUCUAAGGGCCAGGGAGGACGGCAGCAGCGGCGGCUCUGGACCCAGUGAAUACUUUGAGUGUGCUGAGCUAUCAUGUAUAUACACCAGCUGGAGAGUGAUGGGAAGACUCUCAACAAAGAAAUAGAAUCAUGCAGGGCCACCCUGCUGAAGGCUGAGCCACGCCACUUGUGGGAUCUUAGUUCCCUGACCAGGGAUUGAACCUGCGCCCUUGGCUGAGUCCUAACCACUGAACCACCAGGGAAUUCCCCACCAAUCGUGCUGAAGUGUUCUCUUUUACCAUAUAUGUAUGUGUGUCCUUAAAUGAUGGAUGUGUUUGAAUGUAAAUAAAGGGUUAUCAUAUGUA